AAUGAACGCUGGCGGCGUGCUUAACACAUGCAAGUCGAGCGAGAAAGUUUCCUUCGGGAAGCGAGUAAAGCGGCGAACGGGUGAGUAACACGUGGACAACCUGUCCUGGAGUGAGGAAUAACUUGGGGAAACUCGAGCUAAUACCGCAUACGCUCGUACGGCGUCGGCCGUACGAGGAAAGUUGGCCUAUUCAUGAAAGCUGACGCUCCUGGGGGGGUCCGCGCCUGAUUAGCUAGUUGGUGGGGUAAUGGCCUACCAAGGCGACGAUCAGUAGCCGGCCUGAGAGGGUGAUCGGCCACACUGGGACUGAGACACGGCCCAGACUCCUACGGGAGGCAGCAGUGGGGAAUAUUGGACGAUGGGGGCAACCCUGAUCCAGCAACGCCGCGUGGGGGAUGAAGGCCUUCGGGUCGUAAACUCCUGUCAGUGGGGACGAAAAGCCCCUGGUAAAUAGCCAGGGGUCAUGACGGUACCCGCAGAGGAAGCCCCGGCUAACUCCGUGCCAGCAGCCGCGGUAAUACUGGGGGGGCAAGCGUUAUUCGGAAUUA
rnacentral:rRNA from 1 species